AGCAGCCGCGGUAAUUCCAGCUCCAAUAGCGUAUAUUAAAGUUGUUGCAGUUAAAAAGCUCGUAGUUGAAUUUCGGGAUCAGUACGCUGGUCGUGCCUUUGGUAUGUACUGGUGUCACUGAUUCCUCCCUUCUGAAGAACCGUUAUGCCAUUUAUUUGGUGUGUCGUGGGGAAUCAGGACUGUUACUUUGAAAAAAUUAGAGUGUUUAAAGCAGGCAUACGCUUGAAUACAUUAGCAUGGAAUAAUGAAAUAGGACGUUUGAUUCUAUUUUGUUGGUUUCUAGGAUCGACGUAAUGAUUAAUAGGGAUAGUUGGGGGCAUUAGUAUUCAAUUGUCAGAGGUGAAAUUCUUGGAUUUAUUGAAGACUAACUACUGCGAAAGCAUUUGCCAAGGAUGUUUUCAUUAAUCAAGAACGAAAGUUAGGGGAUCGAAGACGAUCAGAUACCGUCGUAGUCUUAACCAUAAACUAUGCCGAC
rnacentral:rRNA from 1 species